GAUGAACGCUGGCGGCGUGCCUAAUACAUGCAAGUCGAGCGAACAGAUGAGAAGCUUGCUUCUCUGAUGUUAGCGGCGGACGGGUGAGUAACACGUGGGUAACCUACCUAUAAGACUGGGAUAACUCCGGGAAACCGGGGCUAAUACCGGAUAAUAUUUUGAACCGCAUGGUUCAAUAGUGAAAGACGGUUUCGGCUGUCACUUAUAGAUGGACUCGCGCCGUAUUAGCUAGUUGGUAAGGUAACGGCUUACCAAGGCGACGAUACGUAGCCGACCGUGGAGGGUGAGCGGCCACACUGGAGCUGAGACACGGUCCAGACUCCUACGGGAGGCAGCAGUAGGGAAUCGUCCGCAAUGGGCGAAAGCCUGACGGAGCAACGCCGCGUGAGUGAUGAAGGUCUUCGGAUCGUAAAACUCUGUUGUUAGGGAAGAACAAAUUUGUUAGUAACUGAACAAGUCUUGACGGUACCUAACCAGAAAGCCACGGCUAACUACGUGCCAGCAGCCGCCGCGG
rnacentral:rRNA from 1 species